rnacentral:rRNA from 1 species
UACGAAGGGGGCUAGCGUUGCUCGGAAUCACUGGGCGUAAAGCGCACGUAGGCGGCUUUCUAAGUCAGGGGUGAAAUCCUGGAGCUCAACUCCAGAACUGCCUUUGAUACUGGAGAGCUCGAGUCCGGAAGAGGUGAGUGGAACUCCGAGUGUAGAGGUGAAAUUCGUAGAUAUUCGCAAGAACACCAGUGGCGAAGGCGGCUCACUGGUCCGGAUCUGACGCUGAGGCGCGAAGGCGUGGGGAGCGAACAGG